AGUUCAUCUUCUCAGAAUGAGGCUCCCUGCUCAGCUCCUGGGGCUGCUAAUGCUCUGGGUCCCUGCCUCCAGUGGAGACAUUGUGAUGACCCAGACUCCACUCUCCCUGCCCGUCACCCCUGGACAGCCGGCCUCCAUCUCCUGCAGGUCUAGUCAGAGCCUCCUGCAUAGUAAUGGAUACACCUAUUUGGAUUGGUACCUGCAGAAGCCAGGCCAGUCUCCACAGCUCCUGAUCUAUACGCUUUCCUAUCGGGCCUCUGGAGUCCCAGACAGGUUCAGUGGCAGUGGGUCAGGCACUGAUUUCACACUGAAAAUCAGCAGGGUGGAGGCUGAGGAUGUUGGGGUUUAUUACUGCAUGCAAGCUCUACAAACUCCUCCCACAGUGCUACAUCCUCGAACAGAAACCUCCCUGCUGGGUUGGCCCAGCUGCCCGCAUGUGCUGCUUGUCCUGGGGAGCAGCUGAGCAGAGUCUCUGAGUCUGCAGAAGAGAAGGCUGUUGGAGACGUCAGGGCGGCGUUUGCUGCUGAGGAUGCUGCUCCAUGAGAGCCUCAGCAGCACCUCAGAUCCCAUAUGUUAAGGCCCCACCAGCUGCCACAGCCUGGGGAAGGUAUCAGGAGGAGGAGAAUUCAUGGGGGCCACAUGCCCUGGGAGCAACCGGCUAUGAUGAAGGGAGAGUGAGUGAAAACUCACAUCCUCACCCUCCCUGUCUUGCCCACAUUUGUCAAGUUCAUGCAACUGUCAGAAUAACCAGACCGUGGAUGCAGUUUAGUGACAACACAAGUAGAACGCAUACGGGAAAUGACCAGCUUGGGGUUUAUUUCACACACGAUGACAGUCAUAUUGGGAAAUUCAUAGUCUCCCGUCUCCCUAAUUCUGCUCUCCAACUUGCACUAAACCCGCCUCUCCAGUGUCUCACAGGAGAAAGCAUUCUACACAAGUUGUCUGUUUAGCCAUAGGGAACUAUGGCUAAGGACGCUGAGUAAAAAUGUUUGAUGUUGGAUUAUUCAAAUAGACUUUGUAAACUCGUGGCAGGUAUGACAUCCAAUGUCAAAAAUUGAUUACUCUUAAUUACUAUUUGGCAAGUGAAAAGCAAAUUUUCACAAUUCCAAAACUGUCCUUUAGAAAUAACUGCAUAAAGUCAAAGAUAAAAAAUAUAAAGUUUAUUUCAAGUACAAAGGAAACAUUCAGAAUUAUGUGAGAUUUUUAUUUCUCUUCCAAAUUCUAAAAGUUUUGAAGGUACUUAGGCUAAAUUCUACUUUAGAAUAGAAAUUUAAUACUGUGUUUUCAUAAGAAAAGAUUUCAAAGAAUACAAAAAUGCAUUCUUUUCACGUGAUUACAUCA